rnacentral:rRNA from 1 species
GACGAACGCUGGCGGCGUGCUUAACACAUGCAAGUCGAACGGAAAGGCGCUGCUCUUGUGGCGUGCUCGAGUGGCGAACGGGUGAGUAACACGCGAGUAACCUGCCCUUGACUUUGGGAUAACUUCAGGAAACUGGGGCUCAUAUCGGAUAGGAGCUCCUGCUCCGUGGUGUGCGUUGGAAAGAUGCGGCGGUUGGGGAUGGACUCGCGGCUUAUGAGCUUGCUAGUGGGGUAGUGGCUUACAAGGGCUUUGAAGGGUAGCCUGCAUGAGCGGGUGACCGGCCACAUUGCGACUGCGGGACGGCGCAGAAGCCUACGGGACGCAGCGGUGGAGAGUAUUGCACAAUAGGCGCGAGCCUGAGACAGCAGCGCUGCGUGCGUGAUGACGUGCUACGGGUUGUAAACAACUUUCGCCUGUGACGAAGAGUGAGUGACGGUACCUAGUAAGGAAGCCCCGGCUAACUACGUG